rnacentral:rRNA from 1 species
GGGGAAUAUUGGACAAUGGGCGAAAGCCUGAUCCAGCCAUGCCGCGUGAGUGAUGAAGGCCUUAGGGUUGUAAAGCUCUUUCAUCAGGGAAGAUAAUGGCGGUACCUGAAGAAGAAGCCCCGGCUAACUUCGUGCCAGCAGCCGCGGUAAUACGAAGGGGGCUAGCGUUGCUCGGAAUCACUGGGCGUAAAGCGCACGUAGGCGGCUUUCUAAGUCAGGGGUGAAAUCCUGGAGCUCAACUCCAGAACUGCCUUUGAUACUGGAGAGCUUGAGUUCGAGAGAGGUGAGUGGAACUGCGAGUGUAGAGGUGAAAUUCGUAGAUAUUCGCAAGAACACCAGUGGCGAAGGCGGCUCACUGGCUCGAUACUGACGCUGAGGUGCGAAAGCGUGGGGAGCAAAC